rnacentral:SRP_RNA from 1 species
GCCGGGUGUGGUGGUGCAUGCCUGUAGUCCCAGCUCCUUGGGAAGCUGAGAUGAUCACCUGAGCCUGGGAGGUUGAGGCUAUAUUGAGUUGUGAUGAGGCCCUGGACUCCAGCGCAAGUGACAAAGCAACACCCUGUCUCAAAGAAAUUUUUUUGAGUUGGAGUCUUGCUCUGUCACCUGGGCUGGAGUCCAGGGCCUCAUCACAACUCAAUAUAGCCUCAACCUCCCAGGCUCAGGUGAUCAUCUCAG